rnacentral:rRNA from 1 species
AUUGAACGCUGGCGGCAGGCCUAACACAUGCAAGUCGAGCGAGUGGCGGACGGGUGAGUAAUGUCUGGGGAUCUGCCUGAUGGAGGGGGAUAACUACUGGAAACGGUGGCUAAUACCGCAUACUAUCGGAUGAACCCAGAUGGGAUUAGCUAGUAGGUUGGGUAAAGGCGCACCUAGGCGACGAUCUCUAGCUGGUCUGAGAGGAUGACCAGCCACACUGGAACUGAGACACGGUCCAGACUCCUACGGGAGGCAGCAGUGGGGAAUAUUGCACAAUGGGCGCAAGCCUGAUGCAGCCAUGCCGCGUGUAUGAAGAAGGCCUUAGGGUUGUAAAGUACUUUCAGCGGGGAGGCGUUACCCGCAGAAGAAGCACCGGCUAACUCCGUGCCAGCAGCCGCGGUAAUAC